CGAAAGCCUGACGGAGCAAUACCGCGUGAGGGAGGAAGGCUUUUGGGUUGUAAACCUCUUUUAAUAAGGAAGAAGAAAGUGACGGUACUUAUUGAAUAAGCAUCGGCUAACUCCGUGCCAGCAGCCGCGGUAAUACGGAGGAUGCAAGCGUUAUUCGGAAUUAUUGGGCGUAAAGGGUCCGCAGGUGGUAAUUCAAGUCUGCUGUCAAAGACCGAAGCUUAACUUCGGAAAGGCGGUGGAAACUGAAAAACUAGAGUACGGUAGGGGUAGAGGGAAUUUCCAGUGUAGCGGUGAAAUGCGUAGAUAUUGGGAAGAACACCAGUGGCGAAGGCGCUCAACUGGGCCGUAACUGACACUCAGGGACGAAAGCUAGGGGAGCG
rnacentral:rRNA from 1 species